rnacentral:rRNA from 1 species
GGAGACAUAGUGGAGGUUAGUCAAGGAGACAGGUGGUGGCAUGGUUGUCGUCAGCUCGUGUCGUGAGAUGUGGUUAAGUCCCGCAACGAGCGCAACCCUUAUUGCUAGUUACCAUCAUUAAGUUGGGGACUCUAGCGAGACUGCCAGUGAUAAACUGGAGGAAGGUGGGGAUGACGUCAAAUCAUCAUGCCCCUUAUGACCUGGGCUACAAACGUGAUACAAUGGCUGAAACAAAGGGCAGCGAAGCAGUGAUGUGGAGCGAAACCCAAAAAAGCAGUCUCAGUUCGGAUUGAAGUCUGCAACUCGACUCCAUGAAGUUGGAAUCGCUAGUAAUCGUAGAUCAGAACGCUACGGUGAAUACGUUCUCGGGGUUU